rnacentral:rRNA from 1 species
AUGGCGUCCGCCAUGGAGCUCUCCCUCCUCAACCCCGCAAUGCACCACCACGGCAUCGCGGCCAAGACGGCCUCCCCCCUCCCGGUUCUCCCCGCGCGCCGGGGCGCCGUCCGCUUCCGCGUGAGGGCCGCCGCCGCGGCGCCGCCCGCACCCGCCGCGAAGCCCGGCUCGCCCAAGAAGCGGGGCAAGACGGAGGUCAACGAGUCGCUGCUCACGCCGCGCUUCUACACCACGGACUUCGACGAGAUGGAGCAGCUAUUCAACGCCGAGAUUAACAAGCAGCUCAACCAGGACGAGUUCGACGCGCUGCUGCAGGAGUUCAAGACGGACUACAACCAGACCCACUUCAUCCGCAACCCCGAGUUCAAGGAAGCUGCCGACAAGAUGCAGGGCCCGCUCCGCCAGAUCUUCGUCGAGUUCCUCGAGCGCUCCUGCACCGCCGAGUUCUCCGGGUUCCUCCUCUACAAGGAGCUCGGCCGCAGGCUCAAGGUUCGUGUACCACUUCUUCUUCUUCUUCUCUGCUCUUGCAUGUGGGCAUUUCGUAGAGCAGCUGGUGGGUGUGCGCUGAUGCCCGCGUUUCCUUUUCAGAAAACCAACCCGGUGGUGGCUGAGAUCUUCUCGCUCAUGUCCAGGGACGAGGCCCGGCACGCUGGGUUCUUGAACAAGGGGCUGUCCGACUUCAACCUGGCUCUGGACCUCGGCUUCUUGACCAAGGCUAGGAAGUACACCUUCUUCAAGCCAAAGUUCAUCUUCUACGCCACAUACCUGUCCGAGAAGAUCGGCUACUGGAGGUACAUCACCAUCUUCAGGCACCUAAAGGCCAACCCGGAGUACCAGGUGUACCCCAUCUUCAAGUACUUCGAGAACUGGUGUCAGGACGAGAACCGGCAUGGCGAUUUCUUCUCCGCGCUGCUCAAGGCGCAGCCGCAGUUCCUCAAUGACUGGAAGGCCAAGCUCUGGUCACGCUUCUUCUGCCUCUCGGUGUAUAUAACCAUGUACCUGAAUGACUGCCAACGUAGUGCCUUCUACGAAGGAAUUGGUCUCAACACCAAAGAAUUCGACAUGCAUGUCAUCUAUGAGACAAACCGCACGACGGCGAGGAUCUUCCCUGCUGUACCGGAUGUUGAGAACCCUGAAUUCAAGAGGAAGCUAGACAGGAUGGUAGAUAUCAACCUGAAGAUCAUUUCUAUAGGAGAGUCCAACGACAUGCCCCUGGUGAAGAACCUGAAGAGGGUUCCUCUUAUUGCCCAACUAGUGUCUGAGAUCAUCGCUGCGUACCUCAUGCCCCCAAUCGAGUCUGGCUCCGUUGAUUUUGCCGAGUUUGAGCCCAAGCUUGUCUACUGA